CAGUCGCCGCGGGAAUACGAAGGGUGCAAGCGUUAAUCGGAAUUACUGGGCGUAAAGCGUGCGUAGGCGGUUUGUUAAGUCUGCUGUGAAAUCCCCGGGCUCAACCUGGGAAUGGCAGUGGAUACUGGCAAGCUAGAGUGUGUCAGAGGAUGGUGGAAUUCCCGGUGUAGCGGUGAAAUGCGUAGAGAUCGGAAGGAACAUCUGUGGCGAAGGCGACUAUCUGGGCCAACACUGACACUGAGGCACGAAAGCGUGGGGAGCAAACAGGAUUAGAUACCCCCGUAGUCCCUGUCUCUUAUAC
rnacentral:rRNA from 1 species